rnacentral:rRNA from 3 species
UUCCGUUGAUUCUGCGGAAGGUUGCUGCUAUUGAGAUUCGACUUAGACAUGCAAGUCAGGGGUUUCUUCGGAAACACCGGCAAACGGCUCAGUAACACGUCGAUAAUCUGCCCUUUGGUCUAGGACAGCCUUGGGAAACUGAGGGUAAACCUGGAUAGGAGAGAAAUACUGGAAUGUUUUUUCUUUUAAAAGCAAUGCCAAAGGAUGAGUCGGCGGCUGAUUAGGCUGUUGGUGAGGUAAUGGCUCACCAAACCUUUGAUCAGUAGGGGGAAUGAGAGUUCUAGCCCCGAGAAGGGCACUGAGACAAGGGCCCUAGCCCUAAGGGGUGCAGCAGUUACGAAACCUUUACAAUGCACGAAAGUGUGAUAAGGGGAUCUCAAGUGCUCUAUCAUUGAUAGAGCUUUUGCCAAGUGUAAAUAGCUUGGAGAAUAAGUGGUGGGCAAGACCGGUGCCAGCCGCCGCGGUAACACCGGCGCCACAAGUGGGAAUCACAUUUACUGGGUCUAAAGCGUCCGUAGCUCGUUGGAAAAGUUUUAUGUGAAAUUGUUGGGCUUAACCUAACAACGCGCAUAGAAAACUAUCUGACUAGAGACCGGGAGGAGACAAGGGUACGUUAGGGGGAGUGGUAAAAUAUGAUAAUCCCUAACGGACGGCCAAUGGCGAAGGCAUUUGUCUAGAACGGGUCUGACAGUGAGGGACGAAAGCUAGGGGAGCAAUCCGGAUUAGAUACCCGAGUAGUCCUAGCUGUAAACGCUGUGAGUUAUGUGUUACAUAUUCUCCGUGAAUAUGUAGUGCCGAAGCGAAGGCGUUAAACUCACCACCUGGGAAGUACGGUCGCAAGAUUGAAACUUAAAGAAAUUGGCGGGGGAGCACUACAACGAGUGAAAUGUGCGGUUUAAUCGGAUUCAACGCCGGAAAUCUCACCAGGAGCGACGGCAGAAUGAAGGUCAGAUUAAAGGUUUUACCUGACAAGCCGAGAGGAGUUGCAUGGCCGCCGUCAGUUCGUGCCGUAAGGUGUCCAGUUAAGUCUGGUAACGAACAAGAUCUAUAUUCACAGUUGCUAACAUCUCGUUAGAGGAUUGAGCACAUUGUGGAGACUGCCUUGGUAACAAGGAGGAAGGUGUAGGCCACGGUAGGUCUGUAUGGCCCGAAUCUCCUGGGCUACACGCGCAUUGCAGUGGUAGGGACAAUGGGAUACAACUCCGUAAGGAGAAGUCAAACCUCUAAACCCUAUCUUAGUCUGGAUUGUGGACUGUAACUCGUCCACAUGAAAACGGAAUUCGUAGUAAUCGGAAUUCAAUAAGUUCUGAUGAAUAGGUCCCUGCUCCUUGCACACACCGCCCGUCAAACCAACCGAGUAGGGUCUAGGUGAGGUUUAAUUCAAGGUUAAAUCAAACCUAGGUUCAGCGAGGUGGGUUAAGUCGUCACAAGGUAGCCGUAGGGGAACCUGCGGCUG